rnacentral:rRNA from 1 species
UACGUAGGGGGCUAGCGUUGUCCGGAUUUAUUGGGCGUAAGAGCGUGUAGGCGGCCAGGUAGGUCUGCUGUGAAAACUCGAGGCUCAACCUCGAGACGUCGGCGGAAACCAUCUGGCUAGAGUCCGGAAGAGGAGAAUGGAAUUCCCGGGUGUAAGCGGUGAAAUGCGCAGAUAUCUGGAGGAACACGGUGGCGAAGGCGGCAUCCUGGACCGGUAUUGACGCUGAGGCGCGAAAGCGUGGG